UCACUGGAGUAGCGGAGCUCGAUGCGCGU
rnacentral:sRNA from 1 species